UUGAUUCAUUCUGGCUUUUAGCCAGAGAUGAUCUAAUUGGCCGUUGUCCGCGCCGGCCUUUGAGUCGUUUAACCAAUCUUAUUGAUGUCCUCCUAUUGGCACGAUCCUGAGAUUUCACAGAGAAUAAGCCCUGUUAAACUAGCGGCAGGCGAGUGGGGGACGGUAUCAUGCAAGUCUCGGAGUUUGAAAAGAUUAAUUUCUCUUCUGGAAAUCAGCCCCGUCAAGGCUAGCUUUAAAUGCUCCUCCUAUAAAUUCUGAUAGUACUAUGCACGCCUAAUACAGUCCUUGUUAUACUGCAUUAUACUCUUGUUUUCCGCAUAUUUGAUUUUUCAUUCAUUCGUUCAUCCAUCCAUUCAACAAAUGUUUGUUGCUCGUCUUUUCUAUGCCAGCCGCGCAAGGCGCUGAGUAUAAAGCAGACAACAAAAGAGAUGAAAUACUUGUUCCCAUGAAGCUAAAAUUCUAGUGGCUGACACAGCUGUCUGGAGGCCUUGUCAGGAGGACAGGACUCAGGAAAGAGAAUGCAUCACGGGCGCUUAUGGGACCACAAAGUUGCCUCCAGCCUCUGCCUUUGUCUCUCAUGGUUUAGCUUCUGCUAUUGGGCUCUGCCCACAGCCCAGAAGCCACUACUCAGCAAGGAUCACCGUUGAGCACAGACUUCUAAUACUCUUGUUGAAGAUGAAUUCAGCUAUGAGGCGAUGCGCCUUACGUUUUGUGACUCCUGUGAAUGCUGCCUGACAGAUGUAACUCAGCUUUUCCAGCAGGCCAAGUAGCAAGGAGCUUGUGCUGAGAAAUGGCUUUAAAGCAUUAAAUGCCAAGUCCAGCCCCACAGAGCACACGAUCCCUUCUCUAGUGUCAUCCUCUCUCGCCAGUCUUCAGAUCCAGAGGAGCUGAUCCAGUCAGCCAAGCAGACAGUCAUCUGGUUCGUGCAAUUCCUCUAUUUAGCAGAUAUAGGGAUGAUAUUUCCAGGAAGGCUCCCAGAGACCCCUGGCAUGUGCAAAGGGCAGAAGAUGCACAGGUGGAAAAAUGAACAAAAGACUCACUUCACAUCUCCUAGGGUUAUUGACCUUCGGCCAGUGGUGUGCUGGUGAUGUUUAACAACUGGCUCUCUGAA